AAUGGAUGUGUAACUGAUGUGAUUCUGCAAUCUGUAUAUGGGUGAAAUAUGAUAUAUCAAGAACUAUGUAAUGUUUUGAAUAACCAACAAUAAAAAAUUAAAAAAAAAAAAACUGAACCCUUCUUCAACUCCUUCCCAUUCUCAAAGAGAGAUGGGAUUUGUCCUUCUAACCACUUUUCUGGGCCAUUUGUCCAUACCUGUCCAGCCCAGGACAGACUACACUGAUAGGGUCACACCUUUUCUGCAGUAGGUUGGAAGCAUCAAGUGACACUGCAGGCCCUCCUUGGAGCUGUGGUCACCAGAGGCCACCUGCUGGUUUUCUUCCUUCUGUAUAUUUGGGUGUGAGUGUCUGUCCACCUGAGUGUGUGACCAGCUCUUUGAGGCUUAGCAUAGCUAUUGUCACCCUGUAGUGAGCAGACACUCAGCACUUUCAUCAGGUAAAGAGACCUGAACAUUUGGACAAAUCCCAGCUACCAACGCUGGAAUAUUAAUGACAUGUCUGUCCAUAAGGGACCCCAAGAAGCAGAAGCGCUUCCUUAUCCUUCAAAUUCUCAGAGAAAGUUUUGCAUUGCCACUGGUAUGUGCCCCCUUCUAUUGAACAUGCCCUUUAGGAAUGGAAACAUGGAGAAGAGACAGUUUGAUUAAAUGAUAUUGAGGAUGGCAGCUUGUUCCUUCUUAUGGGGCUAAAUGGCUAAAUGUUUGUGCG
rnacentral:lncRNA from 1 species